GAGGGUGGGGGACCGAGUGGGAGGAAAUAAUCCAGAAAUCCCCCGGACUCGGAGCAUCGCCCGCCUGCUGCCGGCCGCCCGCUCUGGGAUACGCGACUGGGGAAGGUGCGGAGCCGCCCUGCCGCGGGGAGGGAGAGACCCCGGCCCGGUCCCCCCCAGCUCAGCGACCGCUGCGUCCCCCCAGAGGGAACAAGCGUGGUCCCGGAGCCGAGAACUAACGGGAGCCUUCCAGGGGAUGCUAAGAUGCUGGCCGUGCCGGAGUCCUGGAUGCACAGUCUGCAAAUAAGCUUCUUUUCAUAAUGCACUGAAAAGUGGAGGUGGAACAUUUAAUAACUCAUGCAAAGAAUCAUAUAUGUUUACAUUUAAUCAAAUGAUAUUGAUGCAGGCUCUCCAGAGCCAGAAGAACUGAGCCAGCUUCUGUUAGAAUCCUUACAAGGUGCUAAGUCAGUGGAAUUGAUAGAGACAAUGGUUGUUUAGCAGGGUGCUUAACAGUUUUCUAGAUGUACUUAGUACUUAUUAGAGUUCACACCUUUAAGAGAGCAUAUCUAAGCUAGGAGCCUCAACCAGGAUGCACUUCGGGAGAUUCAAAAGUCAGGAUUCAGUACAGGAGAUUCACAAGUCAGAGAUGGUAGUCAGGCAGAACGAAGGAAGACAGAGAAGUGAUGGCAGGCUGUCCUGUAGAGAACACUGGACUCAAGAUCCAGAAGGCCUCCAGAAAACUAGCCGACCCCCAGGUGAAGGAAAGAGAAAAUAAAGGAUUUGGCCU